UACGGGGGGUGCAAGCGUUGUCCGGAUUUAUUGGGCGUAAAGGGCUCGUAGGCGGGAUGGUAAGUCUGGCGUGAAAUUUCCCGGCUCAACCGGGACACUGCGCUGGAAACUGCCGUUCUUGAGUCACGGAGAGGAAGUUGGAAUUCCUGGUGUAGCGGUGGAAUGCGUAGAUAUCAGGAAGAACACCGAUAGCGAAGGCAAACUUCUGGCCGUCGACUGACGCUGAGGAGCGACAGCGUGGGGAGCAAAC
rnacentral:rRNA from 1 species